rnacentral:misc_RNA from 1 species
AGCGUUUUCGAAUUUUGUUAAAAAGGCCUCACGAUUCUAUUUCUUCAAUUCUUCCCAUAAUUUACUUUAACAAGUGAACGGAAGACGUUCUGAACGCCGUCGUUUGCUUAGCCUGAGAAUCUUCUUGGAUAGCUGCUCAACUCAAGUUGAGCUAUUCACAAAUGGCGGAGAAGCCCCAACCAGUUCAGGUACUAUACUGUGGAGUCUGCGGGUCACCAGCAGAAUAUUGUGAAUUCGGACCCGACUUUGAGAAAUGCAAACCCUGGCUGAUUCAAAAUGCACCCGAUCUCUACCCGGAAUUCCUCAAAGAAUCAAAUGGAACAGAAACAGAUAAAGUCUCUGAUAAGCUUCAGUCAACUUCAAUCUCUGAAGGUUCUUCAACAUCUAAACCAGAAGAAGUCAAACGUCUUCCAGGUGGAAAGAUAAAAAAGAAAGACAAGCAAGAAAUUAUUAUUGAAAAGGUGACACGGAAUAAGAGGAAAAGUAUCACAACUAUCAAAGGCCUCGAACUCUUUGGUGUUAAACUAAGUGAUGCUUCCAAAAAGCUUGGUAAAAAGUUUGCUACUG